rnacentral:rRNA from 1 species
GACACUCCUACGGGAGGCAGCAGUGGGGAAUAUUGGACAAUGGGCGAAAGCCUGAUCCAGCAAUGCCGCGUGAGUGAUGAAGGCCUUAGGGUUGUAAAGCUCUUUUACCCGGGAUGAUAAUGACAGUACCGGGAGAAUAAGCCCCGGCUAACUCCGUGCCAGCAGCCGCGGUAAUACGGAGGGGGCUAGCGUUGUUCGGAAUUACUGGGCUUAAAGCGCGCGUAGGCGGCUUUGUAAGUUAGAGGUGAAAGCCCGGAGCUCAACUUCGGAAUUGCCUUUAAGACUGCAUCGCUAGAAUCGUGGAGAGGUGAGUGGAAUUCCGAGUGUAGAGGUGAAAUUCGUAGAUAUUCGGAAGAACACCAGUGGCGAAGGCGACUCACUGGACACGUAUUGACGCUGAGGUGCGAAAGCGUGGGGGGCAAACAGGAUUAGAUACCCGUGUAGUCCCA